UACGUAGGGUGCAAGCGUUAAUCGGAAUUACUGGGCGUAAAGCGUGCGCAGGCGGUUAUGUAAGUCAGAUGUGAAAUCCCCGGGCUUAACCUGGGAACUGCGUUUGUGACUGCAUGGCUUGAGUGCGGCAGAGGGGGGUGGAAUUCCACGUGUAGCAGUGAAAUGCGUAGAUAUGUGGAGGAACACCGAUGGCGAAGGCAGCCCCCUGGGCCGACACUGACGCUCAUGCACGAAAGCGUGGGGAGCAAACAGG
rnacentral:rRNA from 1 species